UCCAGACAAACCACUUACUGGCCAUGAUUAAGUGGCUAACCCUUUUCUCUCCAAGUCUCUUUAUCCUCCAGUAAAAGAGGAGUGACAGAAUACACCUCCCAGGAACUGUUACAAGGAUUGGUGAGAUAACACAAGUGUAAGGAAGAACAGAAGGAUCCAAGUGUGAGAAAGCCCACCCUGAGUCUCUCAGAGAUUCAUUUCACUACCAGGUCAAAGACACAAUCAAAAGCCCGACAAAUGGAAUUUGUGGAAUUGGAACAAAAAGCUUUUCUUCCUAGGCACAAGAACAUCAAAGCAUAAAUCCUUCAGGUAUCAGCAAUGACAUCACUUAAGAAUUUCUCAGAAUCUUUGGCACCACCCCAGGCCUACCGGAUCAGAAUCUGAAUUUUUUAACAAGAUCUCAGAUCUAGUCAAGAGUCCAGUCUGAUUUCUCUUUAUUGGGACUACCACCCAAAGCAGAAUGAGGAUGAUGUAACCACGCCCAGUGACUUCUGGAUACCACUGACUCUAGAUCCUGAAUUCCAGCAGAAUGGCUGACACCAACUGGUCUGAAGACCCUCACCAAGGAACUGACUCAGUGCAGGAAUGCAGUUUCUUCAUCUCCCUAUCCCUGACUUCACCCCUCACUUCUCAACCAAUCAGUGAUCACCACACUUUAGGCCAUCACCUGUGUCCAGACCCCUUAAAAACCCCAUCUGCAAACCUCUUGAAGAGGCAUAUUUGAGGUUUCCUCUCAUCUCCUCAUUUGGUUUCCCUACAAUUAUUAAAUUCUUUCUCUGCUGCAACUCCUACUUUUUCAGUGUAUUGGUCUGUUACUGUGCAACAGGAAAUCAGACCUGGUGGUCCUAUAGUAAGAGUUCACAGAAUAUGAUAUACAAAGUGAUCUGUGAUAUACAAAAACCGGCACAAUCUCACUCUUAAUAAGAAAAAUUCAACUUAAAAUUAAAAGUUUUUUUUCCUCAGAAUGGCAAAGAUCAAAGUUUGAUAACAUGGUUGGAAAGUAUGCAGACCGAUAUUCUCAUAUUCAUUGAUGAAGUGUAAAUUGAUACAUCCUUUGUCAGUACGGACAGGUUUCCCAACUCUAGGGGUGAAAUUUAUACAGACUACAGUGUGAAUGACAACCACUUCAAAUUGGGUGAUAUGAUGACCUUGACUCUGUGGAGGGUCAUUUGGCAAAAUAUCUCAAAAUAAAAAUGUACAUACAAUUUGA
rnacentral:lncRNA from 1 species